rnacentral:snoRNA from 1 species
AAGACUACUUUCAGGGAUCAUUUCUAUAGUUCGUUACUAGAGAAAUCUCACUGAUCAUGUAGAGUACCGGGAGGCAACAAUGCUUGAUAAGAAAUGUACUCGUUAUCUUGCCCAUGUAAUUGU